GUUGGCGGGGCAACGGCCCACCAAGGCGACGAUCAGUAGCCGGCCUGAGAGGGUGGGCGGCCACAUUGGGACUGAGACACGGCCCAAACUCCUACGGGAGGCAGCAGUGGGGGAUAUUGCACAAUGGGGGGAACCCUGAUGCAGCGACGCCGCGUGGGCGAUGGAGCGCCUCGGCGCGUAAAGCCCUAUCAGCAGGGAAGAAAAUGACGGUACCUGACUAAGAAGCCCCGGCUAAAUACGUGCCAGCAGCCGCGGUAAUACGUAUGGGGCAAGCGUUAUCCGGAUUUACUGGGUGUAAAGGGAGCGCAGGCGGCCUGGCAAGCCUGAUGUGAAAUACCGGGGCCCAACCCCGGGGCUGCAUUGGGAACUGCCAGGCUGGAGUGCCGGAGAGGCAGGCGGAAUUCCUAGUGUAGCGGUGAAAUGCGUAGAUAUUAGGAGGAACACCAGUGGCGAAGGCGGCCUGCUGGACGGUGACUGACGCUGAGGCUCGAAAGCGUGGGGAGCAAACAGGAUUAGAUACCCUGGUAGUCCACGCCGUAAACGAU
rnacentral:rRNA from 1 species